rnacentral:rRNA from 1 species
AAAGUUAGAGGUUCGAAGGCGAUCAGAUACCGCCCUAGUUCUAACCAUAAACGAUGCCAGCCAGCGAUCCGGCUGUGUUCCUCAAAUGACACGCCGGGCAGCUUCCGGGAAACCAAAGCUUUUGGGUUCCGGGGGAAGUAUGGUUGCAAAGCUGAAACUUAAAGGAAUUGACGGAAGGGCACCACCAGGAUUGGAGCUUGCGGCUCAAUUUGACUCAACACGGGACAACGUACCCGGUCCGGACACAGGAAGGAUUGACAGAUUAAGAGCUCUUUCUUGAUUCUGUGGGUGGUGGUGCAUGGUCGUUCUUAGUUGGUGGACUGAUUUGUCUGGUUAAUUCCGUUAACGAACGAGACUCUAACCUACUAAAUAGACGUUUCCGAUCAUCUAACGUCGGACGCUUCUUCUUAGAGGGACAAUCGGCGCUUAGCCCGAUGAGACAGAGCAAUAACAGGUCUGUGAUGCCCUUCGAUGUUCGGGGCCGCACGCGUGCUACAUUGAAGGAAUCAACGUGUGCUUUGCCCGGUCCGACAGGAACUGGGUAACCCGUUGAACCUCCUUCGUGCUGGGGAUAGGGGCUUGUAAUUUUUCCCCUUGAACGAGGAAUUCCUAGUAAGCGCGAAUCACUAAUUCGUGUUGACUAGGUACCCUGCCCUUUGUCCACACCGCCCGGUCGCUACUACCGAUUGAAUGAUUUAGUGAGGUCUUCGGACUGGCGCUCGGAGCGGCUCUCGGGUCCCGCCGGUGUGCCGCAAAGAUACCAAACUGAUCAUU